rnacentral:rRNA from 1 species
UACGUAGGGAGCAAGCGUUGUCCGGAAUCAUUGGGCGUAAAGAGCUCGUAGGCGGCUUGUCACGUCGGGUGUGAAAGCCCGGGGCUUAACCCCGGGUCUGCAUUCGAUACGGGCUAGCUAGAGUGUGGUAGGGGAGAUCGGAAUUCCUGGUGUAGCGGUGAAAUGCGCAGAUAUCAGGAGGAACACCGGUGGCGAAGGCGGAUCUCUGGGCCAUUACUGACGCUGAGGAGCGAAAGCGUGGGGAGCGAACAGG